AUAAUCAUAAAGCUGUCAUAUAAAUAUCAAUCAUUUCUGAAACCUAAUCAUUAUUGUCUUAGUUCUCUUAAUACACGUGAAAGAUUUCAAAAUGUGCUUCUUGGUGUUAGUAUUCCUAGUGAUAGUAGCGCAGAUUAAUGCUAGUCAAGAUGUCACAAUAUGCUUAGCGAAACAGGAGAUGUUAAACGAAUGCCCUGGGUUGGCAGAAAAAUAUCUAAACUUUGAUGGGCCAGAUGCGAGUAUGCUAUUUGAGCACACUGAUGGAGGCUACUAUGCAAGUAAAGGAAUAAUGGAGGCAGACAAUAUUUUCAGCGAAGACCAAGUUUCGAUUUGGAAUGCCCCUUCACCAGUGUAUAACUUAGGACUGUCUUUAUUAUCUGUAUGAAAUUAUAAGUAACUCCUCUAAUUUUAAAAAGGACUUAAAUAAAAGCGAAUUAAAUGUAGCUAAAAUAUCAGUUA